UACAGAGGUCUCAAGCGUUGUUCGGAUUCAUUGGGCGUAAAGGGUGCGUAGGCGGCGCGGUAAGUCGGAUGUGAAAUCUCGGAGCUUAACUUCAAAACUGCAUUCGAUACUGCCGUGCUUGAGGACUGGAGAGGAGACUGGAAUUUACGGUGUAGCGGUGAAAUGCGUAGAUAUCGUAAGGAAGACCAGUGGCGAAGGCGGGUCUCUGGACAGUUCCUGACGCUGAGGCGCGAAGGCCAGGGGAGCAAACGGG
rnacentral:rRNA from 1 species